rnacentral:rRNA from 1 species
CCUACGGGAGGCUGCAGUGAGGAAUAUUGGUCAAUGGGCGAGAGCCUGAACCAGCCAAGUCGCGUGAGGGAAGACGGUCCUAUGGAUUGUAAACCUCUUUUGUCGGGGAGCAAAAAGGCCUCGUGAGGCCACAAGUGAGAGUACCCGAAGAAAAAGCAUCGGCUAACUCCGUGCCAGCAGCCGCGGUAAUACGGAGGAUGCGAGCGUUAUCCGGAUUUAUUGGGUUUAAAGGGUGCGCAGGCGGUCUGUUAAGUCAGCGGUCAAAGCCCGGGGCUCAACCCCGGCCCGCCGUUGAAACUGGCAGUCUCGAGUUGGAGAGAAGUAUGCGGAAUGCGCGGUGUAGCGGUGAAAUGCAUAGAUAUCGCGCAGAACUCCGAUUGCGAAGGCAGCAUGCCGGCUCCACACUGACGCUGAGGCACGAAAGCGUGGGUAUCGAACAGGAUUAGAUACCCCGGUAGUC